rnacentral:lncRNA from 1 species
CUCAGACCCUGGCAAUAUUGGUACCUAGCCUCCAUAAUCUUACCCAACAGUAAUGUAGAAAUCCUUUAGAAAGUAAAAUUGUCAUCUGUAAACAGAAGGCAUACUCACUGGCCAGUGAUAAGCAGCCGUUUGACAGGUGCAACCCAUGGCAAAGAUUCAGCAGACUGACUAUGUAAUCUUCUUGAAACCAACCAGCUGCUUGGCAUACUGCCCUCAUCUCCAGUCAGACUUACAAGUAGUAUUUCUGCAGCUGGGAAGAAAGCAUAAAACUGUUCUUGGAGUUGAAAGUUGAAGUGAUAUAAGCUUCGUCUCCCAUAGUCCAUUUGACUCCACCCAAAAGCACAAGUCCAACACUACCAUGAAAAAGAUUUUAGAUACUCAUGCAAUGACUUGACGGUUCUUACACAAACUUUAGUCUCAGUGUUUCAAUGUCAACCGAGAGGUUUAAUGCAGAAUAAUCUCAGUUAAGUUUAUUAAACUUGCUGGUCUAGACAUUUUUGCUUACAAUACUUGUAGCUAUCAAUUCACAAUGUCAUUGUACCAAGAGCAUAGACCAAAUAACAAGGAAAACAAACUGUUUGGAUACUAUUCUGCGCUGUCAACAGUACUAAACUUAGUAGCCAAUUACAUUCUGAGGCAGCAUGCGUCGCAAGUACUUUAUUGAAAUCACAACAUUUAAUGCCAGGACGUACUGCUUCCAGGAAGAAGUCAGGAACAGAAAAAAAAAUAUAUAGCCAAUUCACAAUGCAUUUACCAUGAUUUAAGGAUUUUCUUUUGGAAUGUUUCCUGUACAGUAAAAUUACACUUUUAUCCUCCCUUAAGCAUAACGAAAAUCAAAUAUUCAAGGAACUUUAGAAACGCAUUUAGUUAGGAUACUCAAGGUCAAUGAUGUCUGUUGUACACAGGCGGCAGUUGCUGCUGCCACCUAGGAUGGUCCGGGGAUGCCAUUGGAAUGUAUCUCUGGUGGCCCGGCUGCUGGGGCUGGGGGCCCGGCUGCUGGGGCUGGGGCUUGGACUCGUAGCCCGGACGCUUGGAUGGCACAGCAGAUUCUAGCUCAGGUUGGGGAACAGAAAGCAUCUUAAUUCCAUAACUUGAAGCAAUACCAGACUCAAACACGUUUCCACUCAGAAGUUUGCUCCACAUGCCAGUUUUGGAUUGAAUGGCACCCUGUGCAUAAGGGUUAUUUUGAGGUGGCUGGGUUACAGGCCUGUAACUAGAAACACUUCCUUUUGGACUGUAACCAGCUACGUGCCUACCAGAAGAAACAUGAUAACUUCUAGGACCUCCUGCACUCAGUGCAGCAGCUGAACCACCUUUAGUGUAACUGGGUACAGAUCUACCCAGAAACCCUUCAGGCUGUGAAUGUCUUUCAUAACUGGAAGUGGAAGCAGGUUUGAGGCUUCUUGAAAAAUCAAAGUGAGGGCUAAUGCCACCGGAGCCUCCACUUCUGAAGCCGAGUGCUAGAAAGAGAAAACAUUUGAAUAAGGUAAAGAAGUUACUCAAUUGAACUGCAGUUUGUGUAGCAUGAAUUCUUACCCUUUGCUUGCUGCCCCAAAGUCAACAGUGAGAGCACAAGCACUCUGAAAAAAAGAACUCAAUGUGAAUACAAAUAAACUAGGCAAGUACAAUAAUAGAUCUUUCAAAAUAAAAUUAACUUACCUCACACAAAAUCCAGAAGACAUUUUUUUUGUUUUAAAGUUUAACCCAAACAGCCUGCAAGAAGUGUGCCGCUAACAAAAUGACAAACUAUUGUUCCAGAUUCAUGACAGCUUCAAAGACAGUGGCCCUUUUGUAGUGUUGGUGCCUGAGUCACACAAUCAUCA